ACCUGACCUUGAGAUCCUUCCUGAAGGCUGUGUACACUCUGUUUAUCUGUGUCCUGUAUUACUGCACUCCUGUGUGUACACCUCUGUUUGCACAUGUGUGGCAUGGCCAUAUCUCCACAUGUGUCCAGUACAGAUCAUCUGUGUACAGCUUGUGGGUACAUGUGCCAGGUAUCUUCUGUCCCAUGAGGAAUAUUUUCCCCACCGUCCACAUGUCCUAUCUGCCACUCUGCUCUGCCUCACACCCUAUAGGGCCCAGGCUCUCCUCCAGCUGCGACCUGUUCUCCCCUCCCUCCUCACCAAUUCCAUCCUCAAGCUUCAUCAGUCAACCAGACACAAGGAACUUUCCAAUAGUACUAGUGUCCAGGGAAGAACUUCCUCCCUUCUCACUACUGCCAGCCAGGGUAGGACACACCUGGGUUUCUUCUUAGACUCACUUGCAUUUCGCCAGUCCUAUAGUACAGACAACCUCAAAGAUUCCAAAAAGGGGAGUUUCAUAAAUAUGACACUUUAACAUGAACAGGAAUCUCCCUUUCUUCCAGGCCAGGAACACUGAUGCUUUGGCACCCUAGACUGAUUUAAAAACAAGAGAUAGGCCGGGCGUGGUGGCUCACGCCUAUAAUCCCAGCACUUUGAGAGGCCAAGGCGGGCGGAUCACCUGAGGUCAGGAGUUUGAGACCAGCUUGACCAACAUGGUGAAACCUCAUCUCUGCUAAAAAUACAAAAGAUUAGCUGGGCGUGGUGGCGGGCUCCUGUAAUCCCAGCUACUUGGGAGGCCGAGGCAGGAGAAUCACUUGAACUGGAGGUUGCAGUGAGCCAAGAUCGUGCCAUUGCACUCCAGCCUGGACAACAAGAGCGAAACUCCACCUCAAAAAAACAAAGCAAAACAAAAAAGAAAAAACGAGAUAGCAGGGUGUAGUAGCAUGCGCCUGUCAUCCCAGGUACUGGGGAGGCUGAGGCAGGCGGAUCACUUGAGCCCAAGAGUUGGAGGCUACAGUGAGCCAUGUCUGCACCGCUGUACUCCAGCCUGGGUGACAGGGCAAGACCCUGUCUCAAAUAUAAAACACACACACACACACACACAGAGAGGUUUUUUAACAGCCUUGAGAUGAGAUCACACAAACACUCAAAUGCAGCUUCUAGGGGAAGGGAGAACCCAGGAGGCUAGGCUUUCUCUUACUUCCCUUCUCACCACUGGAAGGGAGGAGUAACCAGAAGGAGCGGAAGCUAAAACACAGCUGUCCAGAGAGGAGAGCUGUGGUCAGUGGGACAUCACAGCCUCAGCCUGCGCACCCCAGGAGCGUGGAUGAGGACGGCCACCCCGGGCGCGCACCCCGUUCCCAACGCCCCAGCAUCUCUGCAGCCCAAGACAUCCGCCUUCCCUACACCCCGCAUCCGGUGUGUCUCCGCCCGGCCCUGCCGGCGCGGCGGGCGGGCCAGGGGACCAACUGCACGGCCUCACCUGCUAUUCUCCGGUAUCCAGACGUUCAGCUACAGCUGGAGGGGGUUAGGGGCUCUGCUCCGUGGCCGCCAGUGUGGGCUUCCCGGGAUAGCUCUGCGGCCCGGUGGGGGAGCCCAGGACGAGCCGGCAGAGGUGGGGCCGGCUGAGGGCGGAAGCGGCGGCGACGCGAUUACGAAACCCGUCCGGCUCGGAGCCGAGCGCACAGCCGAGCGCUCCCCUCUGGACUGCGGAGGCACUGCACUGUGCGGGCGUGGGCUGGUGCCUCUGCAGCGCCCCAAGGCCGCCGCCCCUGAGGGGAGAACCGGAGAAUGCGGACACCUAGAUAAGGGCCUGGCACCCAAGCCGGGGCCCCCGAAAUCUCACGUUCCCUUUGCGCGCCAGGCAUGUCGGGGCAAAACGAAGCGGAGCCCCCCAAACCCCGAGAACUAACCAAGUUCAGAGAUUCGCAGAAGCACGCCCCCCCACCCCAAAUCUCUUUUGUGCUCUACCCAAAAUGGAAUAGGACUAGGUUUAUUUACCCAUUGUGAGGGUAGAGAGGCGAGUCGGGAGGAUCAGGGAUUGGGAGAAGGGGUGGAAAAAUAGGAUUCUUAAAAACACCUUGUAACCUGAAGUCCUUAAAUUGUAGAAGAAAGGAACACUACUUUCCAUUGUAGUCUAGAGUUAAGAUUUCAAGUCCAUAAAUUAGAGGACCUAAAAUUAGAGGGCAGUUAACUGCUCAUUCAUUGCGUCCCCAGUCAGCACGGGGGUGCUGGAGGAGAUCGGGAAUAAUAGCGCAGACCAAUGAGCCUACGGAGACGCUUUAAUCGUCUCUUUCCCUCAAGUGUUCUGGAACCCAUCAUUUGAAUUAGCCGAGUCAGGCAGGAGGGGGCGGGGAAUCCUUCCGCCCUUCUUAGGAGGGGCUGCAUUGCAGGGGGAGAGUUAACUGACAGACUCAGUCACUGAAGAGGGAAAAGGAGUGAGAAGACAAAGCCGUCAAAGCCCCAACAGCUUUGGUUUUCUCCAGCCCGGCGCAGAUCCCGGAGCCCCCGAGGCAGUCCCUCCAUCUUUGGAACACGCCAAUAAUUGAUUGAUAACAGGAAGCUAUGAGGGACCCUGUGAGUAGCCAGUACAGCUCCUUUCUUUUCUGGAGGAUGCCCAUCCCAGAACUGGAUCUGUCGGAGCUGGAAGGCCUGGGUCUGUCAGAUACAGCCACCUACAAGAUAAAAGACAGCAGCGUUGGCAAAAUGAUCGGGCCAGCAACUGCAGCAGACCAGGAGAAAAACCCUGAAGGUGAUGGCCUCCUUGAGUACAGCACCUUCAACUUCUGGAGAGCUCCCAUUGCCAGCAUCCACUCCUUCGAACUGGACUUGCUCUAAGGCCAAGACUUCUCUCUCCCACCACCUUGCCCUCGUUGUCUUCCCUCUCAAGCCCCUUCCUUUCCACUCCUUUCCCAUUUUAAUCUUCUCUCUCUAUUGUGUUGGUGGUGCUGAUGAAUCUGCCAGAGUUGAGUUCUAUGUAUUUAUUUAUCUGUCUACUCCAUUUCUCUCAAAAGCCCUCAAGUCACAAAGUAAAUGGUUCAAGCAGUGGACUACUGGGUCACAGGGAUUCCUCCUUCCCCCCCAAAUAUUAACUCCAGAAACUAGGCCUGAUUGGGGACACCUGAAAGUAGUAUAGUAGUGCAAAAUGGAAGACUGAUUUUUAACUCUAUUUUAAUCAGCUUCAGAGAUUCUUUAAACCUUCCUGAUUUCCUGCUCCAGGCCAGUAAACACAAAUAUUUCUUCAAGGGGUGAUGAAAACCUCGGAAGUUUUAAUCUGAAGUUAUCUGCUAUGAAACAGUAUUUCUAAAAGGCUAAAGUGAUAAGUCUCAUGCUUUUUUUUUUUUUUUUUUUUUUUUUGAUCCUGCUCUUUCUUAUAUUCUUUUUCUUCCUCAGAGAAAUCAGGAGGGUAGUUGGAGGUAUAAAACAGGAAUAUUAUGGAAAAUGAAAAUAGGGAAGAUAACUGAAUCAUUUUAGAAGUAGCUUAUUUCUUUUCUCAAGAGUAUCCCUUCUUCAACCCUACUCACUUUACAACUUUGCUCCUGUGGGUUGAAAACUCUAGCUAAAGAAAGUUAUCAAAUCUUAAUAUGCAUUCCUACUAUUAUAGUUUUUAAGGUUUCAAUGCAAUAUUCUGAACGGCAUAAGUCCUUAGUAUUUUAGCCUUACCUCCUGCAUUUGCAAUAUGUAAUACUAAUCAGUGGGCACAGUUCUUCAGCUACAUUGAGACCCUGAAAUGAACAAUUACAUUCUGACUCUACAUCUUGUCCUCAAUCCUUCCAAAAUUAUUGUUGCUGAUUUGUGCUGCCAUUUAACUCAUUUAUUUAAUAAAAACAUUCAAUCCCAGGA